AGGACCGAGAGGAUGUAGCCCUUCCUCACCGGCGCUCGGUCCGCAGAUGCGACGCGCGAGAGUGAAGGAUGAGCGGAAGUGGCCCACUCCCUCCUCUUCGCUGCCGCCCUCCCUCCCUUGUCCGUCGCCUCUCUUUCCCCACACCGCCUCCUCUCCUUCUCCCAGCGGGCUCAUCGCUCCUCUGUGGACGAAAUCCAUGGGAAUCACGCUCAACAUCGUGGAGGAUGCGGUAGUGACAUGGGAAGUCGACGGCGCCGACGAGGAUGGAGACAGAAACUCACUGGUCCGGUUUGCAUCUUAUAUUUGUCACGUGGCCGACGUACUGGGCUCCAGCACCGUCGUUGGAGGCGAGGGCCAUCAUUGGCGUCCAGUGACGAGCGCACAACUUUGCCUUGCAUGGAUGUCACUGCUUCGACUGCCACCCAAACAUAUUGCAGGUAUGCCAAGAAAGAUCCAUCGGAAAAUAUUAAAACUAAAUGGCUCCUGCCGAAGGAAUGUACUGAUGAUGAGUCUACCACCUAAAUUUACCAAGUAUACUACUACGAUGCCCUGCGG